UGGGGAAUAUUGCACAAUGGGCGCAAGCCUGAUGCAGCCAUGCCGCGUGUAUGAAGAAGGCCUUCGGGUUGUAAAGUACUUUCAGCGGGGAGGAAGGUGUUGUGGUUAAUAACCUCAGCAAUUGACGUUACCCGCAGAAGAAGCACCGGCUAACUCCGUGCCAGCAGCCGCGGUAAUACGGAGGGUGCAAGCGUUAAUCGGAAUUACUGGGCGUAAAGCGCACGCAGGCGGUCUGUCAAGUCGGAUGUGAAAUCCCCGGGCUCAACCUGGGAACUGCAUCCGAAACUGGCAGGCUUGAGUCUUGUAGAGGGGGGUAGAAUUCCAGGUGUAGCGGUGAAAUGCGUAGAGAUCUGGAGGAAUACCGGUGGCGAAGGCGGCCCCCUGGACAAAGACUGACGCUCAGGUGCGAAGGCGUGGGGAGCAAACA
rnacentral:rRNA from 1 species